AUGGCGGCCCCCGGCGAGUGUGGACAGCCGCUUGAGGAGGUGCCUGGGCAGAGCCGACAGCUCACCAUGGUGCGGCGGGGCCGCGGCGGGGACACCGACUCGGACAGCGAUGAGACCGUCGUGGAGGGCUCUGUGACGGAGAGUGAUGUGGAGGAAGAGGAGUUCUGUAAGAGGAGGUUGGCCUUUCCUAAUUUGGACAUAGCUUUAACCAUAAGUAUUUCUAAAGGAGAUCAUUCUCCAGAAAUCUGUUUUAUACAGAAAUUUGAUGACCACACAUACUGUCAGAAAGAAGACGAGAUAAAUACAAUACUUCAAGAGGCAUACACAUGUGACCAGUCUCAGUCUCUACUGCAGAAUUGGAUAAAGUGUUCAUCACCUACUGAAAGUAUUUCUAAAUCUGGUUUUUCACUAAAUGCUGCAGUAGAAGAACAGCAACUUAAUUCUGUAGGUAUCAAAUUGAAUGGAUUUCAAAAGGAUUCAGAAGAAAAGAUUACACAAAAAUUAAGUAAUGAAGAUCUCUCUCCAGAAAUAAGCCUCUGUCUAGAUGGCCCUGUGGAAGACAUAACAGUUCUAAAUGAACAGGCACCAGAAGAUAAAUUUCAACAUGUUUUAGAUGAUUGCCACAUCUGUGACAAUCAUCUUGUGACCUGUGUGACCCCUGUUGACACUGAUAACAUAGUAGAGGAGCAUUCCCUUAACAAUAAUACAAACCUUUCUCUGGCAUCCCCAAGGGAGAUUUUCAUGGAUGUAUUCACUGAACAGACUACACAGACUGGUGGAUUUGAUGGCAGUGCUAUGUUAAGAUCCCCUGGUGAUUCUGAGAGUCUUAAAGUGAUAAACCCAUUGCCUGACAUGUUAGAGUGUCAGGGUCAUGCCUUUUCCAUUGAUCUGUCAGCAGCUGAGAGCAGUGAUGCCCUGCCAGUAGAGCUUGUGAGGCCUCUGGAUGCCUUGUCAGGAUCUGUGGUACAACCUGUCACUCCUGUAGUGCCAGCUGAGAGACAUCUUAACACCGAGGGAGAGCAACUAAGUUCAGAACCCAGUACUCCCCACUUAGAUGAUGACUGUACACAAAUAACAAACGUGAUGGACCCUCAACUUGCUACAAGUCAGGCAGAAGGAAUAAAUGCCUUCAGAGGAUCUGACUCUCAGAGGACAACAAUUGAGCAACAGAGAGAGAAAGAAGUAAUUCCAGAUUACUGGGAUGCCACCUCUAGUAAAAAGCAAACUGUUGAGGGACAUUCACAUUCAGUAGAGCUUACAGCAUGUGCAGAAACAGCCCCAACAAUAUCAAGUAAAAUUCAGAAGUCUACUUCUAAAGACAAGCAGAAUCUUGAAACCAGAAUGUGGCAAGAAAUAAUUCUGAAUGAGUUUACAGAAGCUAAUCAGAGGAAGAGCAAGAGAAUUGACAACAAACGGAAACGAGAAGCCUUUGGUAAGGGUCUGACUCGCCCUCUUACGCUUUCAACAAUCCACAGGAGAAAUAUGUAUGGUGAGAAUUUACUGCAUAGAGCUGUUACUCAUCAAGAUGUAGACCUUGUAUGUAAGAUCAUAAAAGCUGGUGGAAAUGUAAAUGCGAAGGAUUAUGCUGGCUUGACUGCACUACAUAUAGCAAGUGUGGAAGGCUUUUAUGGGAUAGCAAAUCUGCUUUUGAAAGCAGGUGCUGAUGUUAAUGCUACACAAAAGGAACAGAUAACACCGUUGCAAGAUGCAGUUAAAGAAGGCCAUUAUGAGAUAGUGAACUUACUACUUUGGUAUGGAGCUGAUCCCUUAUUAAAAAAUAAGAUGGGAAGGUGUGCAUUAGAAGAAGCCUCUGACCCAUCUAUGAGGAAACUUCUUACAACUUAUAUAGAAAAAUCCAGGGGAUAUUCAGUAUCAGGAACACCCAAUGUGCCAUUAGAAUCUACCAGAAAAGAAGCUGUAAUUGUACCUGCUACCUGUAAUUCAAGAACUGAAGGAAAGAAGAAAAUCAAGAGAAAUGAAAAAGGAGAAACUCAGCUGCAUAUUGCUGCUAAGAGAGGAGAUUUAUCCUUGGUGAAGACUCUAAUAUCAUCUGGAAUUUGUGUUAAUGAACAGGAUCAUGCAGGUUGGACAGCAAUUCAUGAAGCUUCCAAUGGGGGAUUUACUGAUGUCAUCUUAGAAUUACUGAAGGCAGGUGCUGAUGUCAACAGCAGAAGUCUGGAUGGUGUUUUACCAAUACACGAUGCUGUUUCUGGCAAUUAUUCGGAGGCAGUCAGGAUUCUACUUCAACAUGGAGCGAAUCCCUUUGAGAGGAACGGAGAAGGGAAAAGUGCUGUGGAUCAAGCUUGUGAUGAAGAAAUGAAAGAACUUCUGAGGUCUUACGGUGCUGUGGACUCUGUACUUCCUGUUCCAGCUACUGAAGUUACUGAGAGGAGGUCAAAACAUCAUUGCUUCGACUACUGUAAAAAUGAUGAUGCAGCUUUGGAGUCACAGUGUGAGAAAUACAGUGUGGAGUCUGUUGCUGCCAUACAAGAUACAGAAAAGAAGCAGAAAGAACUGUUGCUAUAUGAACUGAGAACUUCCAAAGAUGCAGAUGUAUAUAUACAAAGGCUAUCUCAGAUACAAGAUGCUUUGAAUGAAAUGCUAGCAAGCCAGAAAACAGAGAGGGAUGCCCUUGCUAAAAAAUACAGGGCUUCAGUGGAAUCUUUCAAAAAAGGAGCACUGAGGAAACAAUUAAUUAACCUUGCUUCUAGGCAAAAGAGUCUGUUAACUCUUGCCCAAAACCAGGAAAAAUUAGUGCAGAAAAUACAAAAUUACAGGAAAAAAAGGCAAAUAUUCAGUUCAUCAUCUUCAGAGAAGCAAAGCUCAAACUUAGUUAUUUUCCAUGGAAAUGAUGUAAGACAAAGUUUAACUGCUGAUGAAAUCAUGUGUCCUGAUGUAGUUACAUUUAGUAUGGGGCUUGGUGCCAGCAUGCCUAAUGGAAACAGAGUAGGAGCACAUGUCUCUUUAGAAAAUAGAUUUUUGGCGCAGGAAUGCAGCCAGCACCCAUACAUCUGCUUGGAUGAGACAGGAGCAAAUAAAGAAGCAAUUAGAAGCAAAGAGGCUUCUGAUCAUGCUUUGGCAUCUGAAAACAGCGUAAGAGAAUAUCCCUUUGACAACAUGUCAAAGGUGACAAACACUGCAGAAGUGGUGACAUUGCCUUCAGAACCUACUGUUUCCACUGCUAAAACAAAGUGCUCACAGCAAAAAGAUCAUGUAGCAUUUGCAGGACAAGGAAACAAGUCUUUAAAUCCUACUUCAGUGACCAACACAUUAAAUAUUGUAGAACCCCGAAGCACUGCUGUGAAUGAGAAUGCCUGUCAGCCAGCCAGUGACUACCAGCAGGUUAUUACUCAUGGGAAUCUACACAGAUACGAAAACAAGAAAGAAGCUUUUCAGCAGCAGCAGCAAGUAAAUUUUUUAGCACCUAUGAAGAACUUCCCUAAUACUUCGCAGCAAAUGGUCUUUUGGAGUAGUGAGAAUUCAGUUAAUACCAACUUGGUGCUUGCAAAUCUUACCUCAAAUACAGAUUCUCUAGUAAAUGUCAGUGAGAAAUCUUCACAGAGCUAUAGUAACCAGGAGUGGGAACAAAAACAAGUGAGGUAUAGACGGAAAAGUAAGAGAAAGCUUCAAUUGAUAGAUCUACUUGAAUUGGGAAGGAUUAAGCCAGGAGAAGAUGUUUUAGAAUUCAAACUGCAGGUAAUUGUUGAGGUCUAAUAAUGUUAAUAUUAGCAUAUAAGGAAAAAAACCCACACACUAAAAUGGGGAAACAGUAGUUCUCAUAGUUCAGUCUGCACCUUCAGCACUCAUUAUUGAAUGUUUUUGUUUCUUGGUUACAGGUAAGUGUCUAUGAAUUUUAAAGGAAAAUGCUAUUGAUGAAGUAUUUUAUCGGUCCAUAACUGUAACACACAGACUAUUGCAUGUGUAAAUUUGUGUUUAACUUUGCAUUAUCAGUUUGGUAAUGUUUCGUAUUACUAGAACCAGAAGGAAGGAGAGGAAAUGUAAAGGUUUUGUGAUUUAAUGUGAUUCCUGGAAGCAAGUCCCUCAAAUAAAGAAUUGUGACAUGAAGGGUUUCAUAGACAUAAAUACUGCAAAAUUUCUUGCUUGUGUGCUAGCUGGUUCUUUAAUUUUACAGUCUGGUAUGACCCAUAUUUGAAUUAAAAAAAAAAAUAAAAAGAAACAUCUUUUUAAUAGAAAAGCAUGUCCAUGUCUCUCCAAACACAGAGCAGAUUUGCAAGGCAGCUGGCAGGGGCCUGGUUGAGUAUUGAGCAAAUGAGGGAAUUACUGACUGAAUUCCCAGAUGAGAGCUAGUUAUUUGCAGGGCAGCAUAUUGAUAAAAACAUGAAAGGUUCUCUUCAGCCAACUUACCAGGUGCACUUAAUACAGAAAGGACUCCUUUUUCUACACCCGUAAUCUGCUCAGGAAUGCUUUUGUGCUGAGAGUUGUCAUUUCUUGAGGUCUUGUGUUGGUAACAAGAUAGUGUAAGCCACAAGGCUCUACGUUGGACCUUAUGAUAGGUGUGUAGACAUGCCUUUUCUUUAAAGAAUGUGUAAUAUUCCUUUGAACUGCAAGAUGACUAAUUUGAAGGGUGAAGAAUUCAGUAUGCUUACUGUCAUUGCUCAAGACAGUUGUCUUUGAUACCAACUUGAUGGACGUGGAUCUUAAGGAAUCGUAACCCCUUGUUGAAGUACUGCUGUUCGGAGUGUAGAAAAGUCAGUGAUCUUUACUAGGAUGAAAAUGACACUGGUUUAUGUGUUGUAAGACAGUACCACAGAGAUUGCAGUUUAGAAACCAGUAUCUGUUACAUUGCAAAUUUCAUCAUUAUAGAGAUGUACUUGGCAACGUACAGCUGGUACAUAGUCCAUACUUAUGGUUAGCUUUGGGCAGGCUGAAUGCAGUUGUUGAAUUCUGUAGGCCUAGGCUGUGAAACUGUGAACUGGAUUGAGUGCUCAUCAAAACAUUUGGGUUAAUUAUCUUAAUUUAGAUUCUUACACCUCAAGCCAGUGGGUAUGGUAGGAGGUGGUUUGAUAUUUGCUGGUGGAUCAUCCUCUUAUUCUAAUUUAUUUAUUUAACCUCAUUCAUGGUAAGUGACCUUACUAAGUUCUAAUAGAAUUUAUCAACAGCUGAUUUUUGCAUUGUUUAGCUCUGUCCGUCUAACGAGGACCAAUAUGACAAAACCAAAACUUGCUCUGUUAUAAAAAAUUGUUUAACAGUUAUUUAUUUUGCUCAGUUUUAAACAGUUAUUAAGCACAAUAAGUUGUGCUUUUGGAGGUUGUGUUUGCAGAACUGAGCUGUAUUUGCAUUAUCAAAGGAGCAUUAACAAUAAGUUCUUUUAUACUUAAUUUUGCAUAAGAUAAAACUGUCAGGUUCCUCCUAAAACAUGUAAAUUAUAUCCCUUGAUUUAAGGGAAAUUUUUAUGCAAAUAUGUUUCAUCUUUGCAUUUCGCGGGAACUUCACUGUGAUGUGCAUGUUCCACAUGGGUAAGGCAGAUUGCAUUUGAGUAGCAGUUCCUUGUUCCACAGACUUGCCUCCUGAAUUUACUCAUAAAGCUACAAUCUUAAAGAAUGGCAAGAUCAGAACCAGUAAAGGGCAAAUUCUACAGAAUCCAGUUCAAUGGGUUAAAGACCUACUAGGAAGUG